AAUUAUAGUUCGUGUGAACAUAAAAGCACAUCAAUAAGUUCCUAAUACUUUUUGUGGAGCAAUUUAAGAUGAUCAACUCACAAUAUAUAACAUUGGAAUCCUAGAAAGGAAAUAAAAAUAAUCAAAGAAAACAUAAUUUAGGCAUAAAUUGAACCCUAGCAAUUGAAGCAUGCAGUAGAAUGGAUCAAUAAUGAUAGGAAGAUUCUAGAGUGACAACAAGAGAAAAGGUUUCAUUUCAAAUAGUACAGAUACACAUGUUUAUUGUUCUUACAUAGAAUAGUAUUAACCCCUUUUAACAAACUAACAUUACUAACUUCUCUAACUUUCUAUAUUUACAAACUGACCCCUAGAGUAUAUAAUCUAUUAUAACACUCCCCAUCAAGCUGGAGGGUGAAAUAUAUCGAGCAAUCCUAGCUUGCUUGAGUAACUUGUGCUGGGCUGCCCAAGUCUUUUUGUUAUCAGGUCUACCAUUUGUCGCCUUGUGGGGAUGUAGUUGGUUGUGAUUACCCUUCCUUUGAUUCUUUCCCUUACAAAAAGUGAGUCAAUUUCUACGUGCUUUGACCUUUCAUAAAAAAUUAGAUUUGCUGCAAUUUACAAGGCUACCUUACAGUCACAAUAUAUAUGUAUAGGUUCCUUUAAUUUGUUUCCUAGUUCUUUCAGUAAAGCUUCCAUCUGCAUGAGCUCUGCUACAGCUACUGCCAUACUUCUGUAUUCUACUUCUACAGUGCUUUUACUGACACUGUUGCUUCUUUGAUUUCCAAGAUAGCAGGGAAUCUCCAAGUUUCACCACAUAACUUAUGACUGACCUCCUGGUGUUUGGGCAGGCUGCCCAAUAUGAGUCAUAAUAUAUUGUGAGAUCACUAGCAAUUCCACCUUUCAACAGAAUCCCCAAUCUUGGACUCUCCUUUAACAUAUGUGACAACUGUCAAAGUAGUUUCCAUAUGUGACUCUUUAGGAUGUUGCAUGAAUUGGCUCAAUACUUGGACUGCAAGGCAUAUGUCUUGCCUUGAAAUUGUCAAGUACAACAGGUUGCCAAUUAAUAUUGAUAGCUACCGGCUUCCUGCAAUUCUGCAUCAUUAACAUUGCUAACAUGUUUAUCAUAGUCAACUGUGGUGAGCUUGUGAUUUUGUUCCAUUGGUGUUGAUACUAGCUUCCAAGCACUUAGACGAACUUCUAAGAUUAAUUGUAAGGCAUACUUUCUCUGAUUGAGUAAAAUACCCUUGUUGGAUCUCAUCACUUCAAUUCCCAAGGAAAUAUAAGCUCCUUUAGGCACAUCAUCUUAAAGUUGUUGUAAAGUCUCAUUCGCUUCAUGUAUUAGGCUACUACUACUUUUUGAUAUUAAAAGAUCAUCCACAUAUAGUAACAUAAUAGAAAUAACUGUUCUGACAGUUACCAUCUUAACAACAGUGGAAAAAGUUUUAUGAUAGUCAAAGCUUUCCUGUUGUGUGUAGCCCUUAGCUACUAAUCUAGUUUUAAAUCUAUCAACCUUACCAUUGAUCUUGUACUUGAUUUGUAUAUCUACUUGGACCCAAUAGCUUGUUUAUUAGGUGGAAGAUCUAUAAUCUCCCAUGUAUGAUUGUCUUCUAAGGCUUGGAUCACUUGUUGCAUUACAAGCACCCAAUCUUGAUUUGAUGCUACACUCUUUGUAUGAUAUAGGUUCUGCUAAAGCAGAAAAAGCUUCAAGAUAGGUCAGAUAAGUAGCUAGAAGUUGAUCGUAAAACAGAUGAUUGGACAUAGAAUAGAUAUUUUUACCUGGUAGUUUAGUUGUAACAUAAUCCUUGAGCCAGAUUGGUUACUUGGUUUGUAUGUGAGAUCUUGUGGUUUCAAUAGUUGUAAUAGGUUAAGAUACGUCACGAGUUGGAGGUGAAUUGACAAAUAGAUAAUUUACAAGAGAUGGGAAGGUUGAUCCCUCCACCCGUGAAGGAACAGAUUAUUAGUCUUAAGUAAUAGGUAAGAGUCUCAAGAGCAUGAAGGUCUACUGUUGAUUCAGGAUCUGUAAAGGCUUCAUGUUCUAUUAAGGCAGGUGCAGAAUUAUCAUCCUUAUCUUGUGGAGUUGAUGAUGAUGGAGGAGGUAAACUAGGAUCAACAUAAUUCAUUGUAGACUGAGAAAAUAACGAUUCUUCAUCAUGAAUGUUAGAAGUCGGUUUGAAAGGGAAAGCAUAUUUUUGAAAUUUGUAAUCCCUGCUAACAAAAAUUGUAUGAGUAUCAAGAUCAUAUUUCCUAUAACCUUUUAAUGUCUCAUAGUAUCUAACAAACAUUGCUAUCCUUACUUUGGGGGUAAACUUAUCUCUUUUAUGAAGAUUACAACUAAAGCUUUGACAUUCAAACACUCUUAAAUGAUCCAGAUUAGCUGACUUCCCAUAGAGCAUUACAUAGGGUAUCUAUCCUUGCAAUACUGGUGUUGAUAGUUUAUUAAUCAAUUAUGUAGCAGUGAGGUUGUGAGUUCGAGUGUACCCAAGAGCAAGGUGGGAAGUUCUUGGAGGGAAGAUGCCGGGGGUCUAUUUGGAAACAGCCUCUCUACCCAAGGGUAGGGGUAAGGUCUGCGUGCACACUACCCUCCCCAGACCCAGUUCGAGUGUACCCAAGAGCAAGGUGGGAAGUUCUUGGAGGGAAGAUGCCGGGGGUCUAUUUGGAAACAGCCUCUCUACCCGAGGGUAGGGGUAAGGUCUGCAUACACACUAGCCUCCCCAAACCUCACUAAGUGGGAUUAUACUGGGUUGUUGUUGUUGUAUGUAGCAGUGCUAACACACCUUCCCCAGAAGUUGAGAGGUACCCCACUUUGAAAUUCUAGAGCUCUAGCAACAUCUAGAAUAUGCCUAUAUUUUCUAUCUAUACCAUUUUUUUAGCAGUAUAUGGGCAGUUACUUUAGUGUAUAAUUCCAUUUUCAACUAACAAUACAUUACAUUUGACAUUAAAAAAAUAAAUGUGUCAUUGUCUGAUCUCACGGUCUUGAUUCUAAAAUAAAACCGUGUCUUUAUUAUUGAGAUAAAAUCCUUCAAUACAAUACACACUUCACACUUAGAUUGUAUUAAGCAUACUCAUAUGUAUCCAGUAAAAUCAUCAAUAAUACAACAACCCAGUAUAAUCCCACUUAGUGGGAUCUGGGAAGGGUAGUGUGUACACAGACCUUACCCCUACCCUAGGGUAGAGAGGCUGUUUCCAAAUAGACCNNNNNNNNNNNNNNNNNNNNNNNNNNNNNNNNNNNNNNNNNNNNNNNNNNNNNNNNNNNNNNNNNNNNNNNNNNNNNNAAAUAGACCCCCGUCAGCCUUCCCUCCAAGAACUUCCUACCUUUGCUCUUGGGGAGACUCGAACUCACAACCUUGCGGUUGGAAGUGGGGGUUGCUUACCAUCAGAGCAACCCCUCUUGUCACAAAGUAAUACUUUCUGUCAUGUAUAUGUGUUUUGUAAGACCCCCACACAUCUAAAUGAACGAGCUGAAAUGCUACUUUAGAUUUGCUUACACUAUUACAAAAUUGCAAUCUACUUUGUUUAGCUAGAGGACAGAUGCUACAAUUUCUUGAUUUUCUUGCACAUAUCUUGUUUUGUAGCGAUGAGAUAUGUUGUAUAGAAUUCCAGGAUGCAUUCCAUAGAUGUGUUUGUUCUUCUUUCAUUACUACACCUACUAUUAUGCCUUAUAUUUGUGCAUAUUCCCUUAGUAUGUAUAGAACAUCAAACACUCUACCAAUCCCCAAUAUCUUUCCCAUGUAGUAUCCCUGUAACACAUAAAAAUCGUGGAAGAACUUCACUGUGCAAGUGAGGUCUCUAGUUACUUUUGGUGCUGAUAGCAAAUUAACUUGAAAUGUGGCACAUGUAACACAUCCUUUAUACAUUGCUCUCCUAAAAUAGUAGCAUUUCCAUUAUACAUUAUUACUUUAUUUCUGGCGGGCAAUUGAACUCCUUGGCCUCUAACUUUCUUUGUAUCACUCGUUAUAUCAUUAUCAUGAGUAAUACGAUGGCUUGCCCCUAAAUCUACUAUCCAACUAUUUAAGGGAACAAUGGAUAGUAAGUCAUAAUACCUGUCAUAUUAGUGGAGCAUUCUCCUCCUCCUUGUUUGUUUAGUGGCCCUACAAGCUGCUCAUACUGUUAUUCAGAGAGGAAAUAACCUUGUGGCUGAGUACUUGUCCCUCAUGUUUCUUCAAUUCUGGCAGCAUUAGCAAAGGUUCUAUUUGAUCCUAGCUGAGGUGAUGAAUAUCCAACAUAUAUGAAUUUUAAAUUCGUACCUUAUCAAAUUAUAGUAUUAAAAGAUGUCGAUCUCACAGAGAUUGGUCUACUUAUUCUACAAAUGGUUCUUGUUUUAAUUACUGUUUGAGAGAAUUAGAAAAGUUGAGUUGAGAGUUAACUAGCAAACAUGAACAAACAAACCGUAAAGAAAAGUAUUUUUAUUAUUUUUAUGUUGGGAUCUUUAUUUCACUUGAUAAUUCGAUUAUAAAGCAUAUAUUUAGUUUCCAGUAUUCUUACAAAAUGCAUAAAUACCUCUCUCGAUUACACUUGUACAUGAUUACUUAAAUUGAACAAUUAAGAGCAUUUCUCUUGGUUAUACAUAUUAGUUAUCAAGAUAAUAAUAUUAAAGAACCAGAAAUAUAUACUUGAAUUGAAACAUGCUCUUUUCCAAAGCAAGUCCCUUUUGGUUACUUUACUUUUUAUAACUUGAAUUUUAAACUAUUUGACUCUUUCGAUUUCAGAUUAGUAUAAAAUCCAAUUAUAACCGAAACAGUUAGAUGUGAUUAAAUAAACGUCAAACACUUAUGAACACCACUAUUAACCUUAUUACCCCUUCCAUCUCUCUCGAUUACAAAAUGAAUAACAAAUUAGUUUGCAAUACAAAGUGAAUAGGUGUGAUUAAACUAAAUAAAAUCUAACUAUACAAGUUGGUAAAAUUAUAAAUUGAAAGUUUCAAAUCAAGCAAGUAAAACUGAAAAAUAAACUUUCACUAUUAUAUAAAAUUAUCGAGAUCCAUCAUUCUCCCAACAUAAGAUAGUUACUUCAUAUUGGAGCUAGUAUUAUCUACAAAAAUAUUCAUGUCCACUAAAUAAGAAAAUAGAAAAAAAUAUUCAAUAAGAACAAUUUCGCUUAUUUAAUUAAAAAUAGAAACUAAAAUAAUUUUUAACCUUGAAACUUAUUUAGAACUGAAAUGGAAGUGUAGCAACCAAUAUGGUCUACGAAGAUGAUUAAAAACUAAAAUAAACUUUGCAAGAGGAAUGAUUUAAAAUCUGCAUGAUUACUUCUGGAGAGAUUGGUAAUGUCCAUUUUAUAGCCAUGAGGUAACUUGAUGGUAAUCGUUUUGCUUUGUUAGAAAUAGCUAGGUUUUGGUUGAAAUGGUUUUUUGGCCUUUUAGUUGUAAUUUGGUUGCAUAAUAUCUUUCAUUUCCUUUUCUUGAUACGUUCUCCUUCUUGCUUUUUUACUUUGUUCUAUUUCUUCCUUGAAAUCUUUCUUGACCUUGCACCACUACUUUUGCACUCUUUUUUUGCAUUAUUUAGUUAAAUAUAUGAAAAAUAUUUGAUAAUUUUUAUACUUUUAUAAGGAUAAUCGUAUAUUUAAAAUCUAGAAAAAUGUACUUAUCAUGGGGAUUCUUUUUGCUUUUAAAAUCUACUGGGUAGCUAACAACUUUAUAGCAGUUUUCUUUUAAUGUCCCUUAUAAUCACUAUGUUCACAAAUCAGUCCAAAGUUCUUAGUUUUAAAACCUUAUCCUUUUUCUGCGAACAUAGUCAAUGGAUCACUAUUUGAAUCGACUAUACCCAAUGUCCUUUGACUCUCCUCCUGUAUCACUAUAGCAUAUGCUUUAUUUUCCGUCACCACUGACCUUUUGAGCAGAACAUUGCUUCUCAUAUUGUUGUAGAUCUCAUUCAGGCCCAUGAGAAACUGCAAAAGUCUCUGAUUUCUGAAAUGUUCUAAUGAAGGCCUCGAUUCUUCACAAUCAUAGGAAGGCAGAGGCAUUAACACAUCCAAUUUUUUCCAUAAAUCUAACAUUUUUGUAUAGUAAGCAGUCACAAAAUUUGUGCCCUAUUAAAGACUAACAAUCUCUGUCCAAAGAUGAUAUAUCCUAGUCAAACUACAUUUAUUAAAUUUUUCCUUAAAGUCACUUCAUACUUUCCUAGCAUUAGAUGCAAAAACAAUGUUUGGCAUCAAUGCUUGGAAAACAAUGCUUUCCUUCCAAUUCUCCUCUACAUGAGAUUUUUACACAUGUUCCAUCUACAAAUCCAAGCUUGCCUUUCUCCCUAGGUUAUAGUUUCAUUGCCGACUCCAUAGGGCAUAAUUUUUUGGCCUUGUGAGCUUAAUUAGAACUAAAACCAAAUCUAGUGCAUCUGCUGCUUGAAGAAAUAGAGUUAUGCUUGAGUGAGGUUACCUCGUUUCCUGCCAUGGCGAAUUGGAGUUGUGCUUCGUCGCCAAUGAAUUUCUCCAAAUUUUAGCUGCCUUGCGAGAACUCCUCGUCGGAGCUGACUUCCUCAGGUUCGCCGUUCUGAUACCAUGUCAAUUUACACAGAUUCUGUGUACAACCCUUGCAAUUGGCAUGUAGUAGAAUGAAUCAAUAAUGAGAGGAAGAUUCUAGAGAGAAUGGGUUUCGUUUCAAGUAGUACAUACACACGCGUCUAAUGAUCUAAUAUACAACAGUAUUAC
rnacentral:lncRNA from 1 species